CCAGGGUAGGUGUAUCCCUGUUAGACUGUAACUACAGAUGUGGGCUUGCUGGGUGAAACAGCUAAUCCUUUCUACAUGUGGCUCACUCUGGAAAUACGAUGCCUGGGGUCGGCAAAAGAGCUCUUUGCACAGGGGCCUGCUGCUGGGUGUGGCCUCUCUCUCCUGGGCCGCGUGGACAGCUGGCCGGGUGCGUCUGUGCUCUUACCUCUCGGGUGAGCUGACUUCUCACUGGACUGGUGAUGGAUGGGAAGGCACGAGGCCUGUGUGUCUGUGGACCUGAAGCGGGGCAGGGUGUAGUUGAAGGAAAACGUCAGGUGUAGGAGUGGGUGGGUGCACGGAGAGCCUGGAGGGGGAAAAAAAACUCUUGGAAAAAUCAAGGAUUAUUGCGACUGCAAGUCCCUGAGUCUUGAGGCAGCAGGAGGAGGGAAGCCAGAUCGGAGCCAGCAGGCACCCAGGGGUUUACAGCAUGGUAUGGCUGGAGGCUGCAAAGCCACGAGACACAAUUCAUCAAAGAGCUGCUGCUGCUGCUAGAGCAGAGAUGGAAGGCUUUCCAGGCCAGUCGGUGAUGCACUCGGAGCUUUCCCCGGGGCAGCCACCUGCGGCACGGUGGCAGCGGAAGCCUUUUCUGGCGGAGCACCCAGCCUGAGGCCGGUCCAGCACAGGAAUUCUGCUCGUCCUCUCCUGACCUACGGCAGUGUCUGGCGCUGUGUCCCACCUCCACCAUCUUGAAACUAUCCUUCCUUGGCCUCCAUAAUAACAGCACACCCGCUCCCCGUCCUUCUGUCCGAGCUCUUCCUGCUGGGUUUUCCCUGAUUCAGCCGUCCACGCCGCUAUUUCCCAGACUCUUGGGAUCCAAAAGCUUGGGAGUAUCUUUCAUUCAGCUGUCGCUUUGGCCUUUCAUGUUUGGAAAUCGCCAUGAUUGUUGGUCCAGUGACUUCACAUGCAUCUGUGACUUCAUCUCAACAGGAUUUUGACAUCGGCUGUUACAGAAAUGAGGCCUGGAGACGCAAAAUCAUCUGCCCGAGGGGUGAAAAGGAGAGCGGGACUCGACUCAAAGCCUGGGCUCAUCCCAUUUCUUGGAGGCUCCCUCCCCGGCGUGACUGGUAGCCUGGCUGGUCUCACACCCCACUAACUCAAAAUGCUGAGGUCUCUCCAUCUUAAAGACAAACUGAUGAACCUUUCCCAGUGCCUGUCUCCAGCUCUUAGCCCUCUCCUGCUUCCCCCUGUACAUACCCGCAAGCCUGCCUUACACUCUUGGGUUCCUCAGUCACUGCAAGCUAGUGUCCGCCUCCCUGGCAUGGCCCCCACCAAGUUCCCUCUGUCCCCAGGACACUCCGUGGCCCUGGCCAUACCCGAGUCCUGUCUAACCCCAUCACAGCCCCUCUUCCACCCAACGUGCCUCCCCUUAGCUUCUCUCCUGAUUUCCUUCUACCCCUCCGGCCGUCCUGCCCUAGUGCCCUCGGCCUCUCCGGCCAUCCUGCCCUAGUGCCCUCGGCUCAGCCCAGCACCUGGAUGCUGCACAUCCCCAGGUUUGGGGUCCAGGCCAUCUGCUCUUGACAAACCCCAUGUUCUCCUUGGUUGGCUCAUUUCCUCAUGUGGCUUCAGUGACCACCACCAUGUUGACAGCUCCCCAGCCUCUCUCUCUAGCUCAGAUAUUUCCCUGUAGCUUGAAAUCUUCAUAUCCCUCUGAACGUGGAGUUCUAAUCCUGAAUCCACCACAUCCCAGCUGGGUGACUGCGAUGGUUAAUUUUGUGUGUCAACUUGACAGGGUGCCCAGAUAUUGGGUCAAACAUGAUUCCAGGUGUGUCUGCGAGGGUGUUUCUGGAUGAGAUCAGCAUUUGAAUCCACUGAACAAAGCAGGUGGCCCUUCCUAAUAUGGGGGGGCCUCAUGCGAUCCAAGGAAUACCUGAAGAGAACAAAAGGGCUACCCCUCUGUGAGUGACGGGGGUCCUCCCGCUGACCGUGGAGCGGGGACAUCGGUCUUUUUCUGCUUUUGGACUUGGACUGAAACAGUGGCUCGUCUUGAGUCUGUUGGGUUGGAACUCACACCAUUGGCUCUUCUGGUGUCAGAACUUCAGACUCAGACCAGAGCUGUGCCAUGAGAUCUCCUGGGACUCCGGCUUGUUUUUGUUCUUGUUGU